AGGCAGGCGAGCGCUUCGGAGCGGACUCGUUUUUUUCCGCCAGUCUUGGCGGAAGCCUGAGACGCAAUAGAUGGAGACUCUCCUUUUCGCCUUGGCGUACUCUUUUUUUUUUUUUCCUCCCUGGAGCUGGUCUUGUGGGGCAGCCCUAAAAUGUAUCUCCAAGUGACCCUGCACUCAUCACUUGCUGCCUUGGACUUAGUUUCCUCAUUCGUAGAAUGGAGACACCACACUUUCUGAAGUGCUUAUGAGACUUGCAGGAGCCUCAGGAUGUUCCAUCUGCCCUACUUGAAUGCCUGAAGCCCUUCUUUCUCCAAUGACCCUGAGGAAAAUCUUGAAGGCGUUUCUUAGUCUGUGGAUUUUUUCUCCACAAGGGUAUAAAAUAAGAAGAUGAGGGAAAUAACCUUAACUGAAUACAUGGUGAUAUGGUUUGUCUGUGUCUCCACCCAAAUCUCAUCUGGAAUUGUAGCUCUCAUAAUUGGGAGAUAAUUGAAUCAUGGGGGCAGUUUUCCCCACACUGUUGUCUUGGUAGUGAAUAAGUCUCAUGAGAUCUGAUGAUUUUAUAAGCGGUUUCCCCUUUCACUUGGCUCUCAUUCUCUCUUGCCACCACCAUGUAAGACGUGCCUUUCACUUUCCACCAUGAUUGUGAGGCCUCCCCAGCCACGUAGAACUGUGAGUCUAUUAAACCUCUUUUUCUUUAUAAAUUACCCAGUCUCGGGUGUGUCUUUAUCAGCUGCAUGGAAACGGACUAAUACACAUGAAUAGCACGU
rnacentral:lncRNA from 10 species